rnacentral:rRNA from 1 species
UACGAAGGGUGCAAACGUUGCUCGGAAUUAUUGGGCGUAAAGCGCACGUAGGCGGCUUAGCAAGUCGAAUGUGAAAUCCCUCGGCUCAACCAAGGAAGUGCAUCCGAAACUGCUGAGCUUGAGUACUUAAGAGGAUCGCGGAAUUCCCGGUGUAGAGGUGAAAUUCGUAGAUAUCGGGAGGAACACCAGCGGCGAAGGCGGCGAUCUGGGAAGAUACUGACGCUGAGGUGCGAAAGCGUGGGGAGCAAACAGGG